UACAGAGGUCCCAAGCGUUGUUCGGAUUCAUUGGGCGUAAAGGGUGCGUAGGCGGCGCGGUAAGUCGGGUGUGAAAUCCUGGAGCUUAACAUCCGAACUGCAUUCGAUACUGCCGUGCUUGAGGACUGGAGAGGAGACUGGAAUUUACGGUGUAGCGGUGAAAUGCGUAGAUAUCGUAAGGAAGACCAGUGGCGAAGGCGGGUCUCUGGACAGUUCCUGACGCUGAGGCACGAAGGCCAGGGGAGCAAACGGG
rnacentral:rRNA from 1 species